GGGAAUGUGGCUUAGUGGUAGAGUGCUUGCUUAGCAUGCAUGAAGCCCUGGGUUCCAUUUCUCAGUUCCA
rnacentral:tRNA from 1 species